UUACUCUAUCAUCGUUCCUCUGUCGCUCUAUCCUGUGUCCGAGCGUCGAUCACGCCGCCGCGAUUGCUUCGGCCCGUUUAACCGCGUGAUCUGUCCAGAUGUUUCCUUAUCGAGAAGUCAAUAGACCGAACAUCGUAUGGUUUCUGUAUUUGCUUUAGGUAAUGAUUAUUAUAGCGAAUACUUAUUUCGACGAAUUUAUCUUCUGAUCAAUUAAUCUUCUGAUGAUUGCACUGAUAAAAAUGUAUAUACGAAGUGCGGAUAAAAUUGUGCAGAAAAUGUUGGAUUUCUACGUAUACAUGGUGGAUCUAAAAUGUCGUGAUACAAGAGGCGCGAGGGACAUUCUGUGAUACGAAAUAAGGGGAAAAUCAUGAAUAACGAAAUUGCGUUUCAUUCUCGAAGAAAUGGAGCUUGAAAACUUACUCAAGUAUCUAAUUCUCGGUUAGAUAGGAGUGAAAAAUUGGCAGCGGGUCAUUCUACAUGCUCAUAUACAGAAUAAUAUGCAAAUUAUUUUCUUCGAAGAUCCUGAGAUUGGGUUUUCUUCUAAAGGUUUUAUUUGAAAAACAAAAGCUUUGGAAAUUUGUUGGAAAGGAUAUUCUUGAGUUUUGAAUUUCGUUCAAGAGGAUUCUGCUAGAAAAAGAGGCAUUUGCGAUUUUGGAAAUUUGACGAUCUUGAAAUAAGAGGAAUCUCGGGAUUUGUAGAUGAGAAAAUUUUAGCUUGAAGAGAGAGGAAUUUUAUAGCUUUGGGAAUGGAGAAACUUCCCACAAAAGCAGACAGUUUGAGCUGAAAUAAUACACGAAGAGACGAAUUAAAAUAAACAAGUUUACGGCAGUUGAAAUAUAGAGAGGAAAUUCCUCUUAAAAAGUGGAAAUUUUUACGACAUUAAAGAUUUGCUAAAGAAGAUUCUUGAAAAGAUAACUUUAAAUUGAAGAACAGUGAAAAACAUGAUAAGUUGUAUUUUUUAU